AGGCGUGUAGCUCAGCUGGUUAGAGCACCACCUUGACAUGGUGGGGGUCGUUGGUUCGAGUCCAAUCACGCCUACCA
rnacentral:tRNA from 1 species